rnacentral:rRNA from 1 species
GAUGAACGCUGGCGGCGUGCCUAAUACAUGCAAGUCGAGCGAACGGACGAGAAGCUUGCUUCUCUGAUGUUAGCGGCGGACGGGUGAGUAACACGUGGAUAACCUACCUAUAAGACUGGGAUAACUUCGGGAAACCGGAGCUAAUACCGGAUAAUAUUUUGAACCGCAUGGUUCAAAAGUGAAAGACGGUCUUGCUGUCACUUAUAGAUGGAUCCGCGCUGCAUUAGCUAGUUGGUAAGGUAACGGCCUACCAAGGCAACGAUGCAUAGCCGACCUGAGAGGGUGAUCGGCCACACUGGAACUGAGACGCGGUCCAGACUCCUACGGGAGGCAGCAGUAGGGAAUCUUCCGCAAUGGGCGAAAGCCUGACGGAGCAACGCCGCGUGAGUGAUGAAGGUCUUCGGAUCGUAAAACUCUGUUAUUAGGGAAGAACAUAUGUGUAAGUAACUGUGCACAUCUUGACGGUACCUAAUCAGAAAGCCACGGCUAACUACGUG